rnacentral:rRNA from 1 species
AGUUUGAUCCUGGCUCAGAACGAACGCUGGCGGCAGGCUUAACACAUGCAAGUCGAGCGAGACCUUCGGGUCUAGCGGCGGACGGGUGAGUAACGCGUGGGAACGUGCCCUUCUCUACGGAAUAGCCCCGGGAAACUGGGAGUAAUACCGUAUACGCCCUUUGGGGGAAAGAUUUAUCGGAGAAGGAUCGGCCCGCGUUGGAUUAGGUAGUUGGUGAGGUAACGGCUCACCAAGCCGACGAUCCAUAGCUGGUUUGAGAGGAUGAUCAGCCACACUGGGACUGAGACACGGCCCAGACUCCUACGGGAGGCAGCAGUGGGGAAUCUUAGACAAUGGGGGCAACCCUGAUCUAGCCAUGCCGCGUGAGUGAUGAAGGCCUUAGGGUUGUAAAGCUCUUUCAGCUGGGAAGAUAAUGACGGUACCAGC